rnacentral:lncRNA from 1 species
UCUCUCACAUCCGUACAGGAAGAGAAGCUCCUCAAGUAUACGAUGUUUUUGUUUAUUCUAUUUAUCAACCAGACGAAAAUACGGAGAAAGCUGCGCAUGUAUAAUAAAAAGGCUUAGAGAGGGUUUUCGUAUAGUACUCUUCUUUUAUUCGAUUUAGUUUAGUACUCUUCUUUUAAUUCCUCUUUCGCCAUUACAAUUUCUUCCUUUACUUAUGCUUGAUAGUAUAAGUUCAUGUUUGGUAACAAUUUGUACAAAGAUGUUUUGUUCUCAUAUCUAAUUCAUGCUGUUAACAAGCUCUACAUAUGUUCCAUGCUACGUAAACUUGGUACUUUUUGGGUUUCAGUUUCUCUUAAUGGCUCAUCAGAAUCACAGACGAUUCUCUCAUCAUCUGCUUUAAAAGCCGCACACAGGUAAGAUAGAUAUAAACACAAAGCGAUGGUGUUUAUUAAGAUAAGGUUAUCAAGAAAAUGAAAUAUAUAAGGGGAGCCUCUUGUUUUGGUGAUAAGAUCUUAUCCUCGAUUUAACCCACAGCCAUCAAUCCUUUCUUCAUCUACACCACUUGUUUUUUUAUUAUCCUUUCUUCAACCUAGGGUUAAAACCAAAUGUUGAUAAAACUUUUAGCGGCUAUUAAACAAUUGUGAGAUAAGUUGACCAAAAAAACAAUUGUGAGAUAAGUCGAACUUAGAUAUGCUAAGAUAAAAAUAACUUUCUUUUAACUAGUUGAAAUAACAGCAUUUGAGUAAUGUAUUGUGGAAUGUCUUCUUUUUUUGACAUCAAAAGGUAAAAAUGUGCAAUGUUAUGGUUAACAAG